rnacentral:sRNA from 1 species
UCACUACAUGACUAUGUGACGAUUAUAUCUUACCGACUGCAUUAGUGUAAAUGACAUAAAUAUAAUUAAACAAUAAAAAUCAAGCGUUUUAUAUCAAAUUUGACGUCAUAUUUCUAUUAGAAUGUCGUCAUAAUGGUCAAGGGAGAUAUAUUUCGUACUGACUAUGUAUGGGAUAAACAUGGUCCCCGACGUGACUGCUGUUAGCCAAUGAUUUCCUUACAAAUUAGCAGGAUGUAAGAUUUAAACAUUUCAUGCUUUUGAUUCUCGUAUUGUAGAAAUGUACAGUAGCAAUCGGACCCAACCUACUUAACACAAGAGUAAACCCCAACUUAACCCCGGGUUUACUUUUUUGAAAAUGUGGGUCCACUCGGGGUUACUUUCGGUUUACUCCGGGUUUGCUUUGGGUUUACUUAGAAAUUGCUUUUGAGGUCAAGUGUCCGCACUAGUGUUAAGCAGACUCGUCUUUUAUCUUACCAUCCUAAUGCUUGUAAUUCGUGGCCCUUGUAUAUUUCAAAUACACAGUUAGAGUCUGCUUUCAGGGGUAUACUUCUGAUCCGGUUUACUCUCUGUGUCCACUUUGGGUUAACUCUGGGCCCACUCUAGUAAACCCAGUGUAAACCCAGAAAAUAAACCAAGGGUUUAGUUGGGGUUUACUUUCUGUUAGGUUGGGUCUGAUCGGAAAUGUAUGCAUUCAAGUACUAUUAUGACAAGAUGAAUGAUGUUUUCAUAUAUUGUAUAAGAAACAUUUGAUAUAAAUUUCUAUAUGUUU